rnacentral:rRNA from 1 species
UACAGAGGGUGCAAGCGUUGUUCGGAAUUAUUGGGCGUAAAGCGCGUGUAGGCGGCUUAGCAAGUCGGGCGUGAAAGCCCUCGGCUCAACCGAGGAAGUGCACCCGAAACUGCUGAGCUUGAGUGCCGGAGAGGAUGGCGGAAUUCCCCAAGUAGAGGUGAAAUUCGUAGAUAUGGGGAGGAACACCGGUGGCGAAGGCGGCCAUCUGGACGGUAACUGACGCUGAGGCGCGAAAGCUAGGGGAGCAAACAGG